rnacentral:misc_RNA from 1 species
GGCUUGCUAGUUCAGCAACUAGAAAGACUAAUAAUCAAACUGUUGAUUGCAUUAAUUGCACCGAUUUAGCGUUGAAGUUAGGAAUCAAAUUAUGCCAAAGUCUUCCCGCCUUCCAUGCGUUUACAGGUUGCGAUUACGCGGCAGCAUUUUAUAAUAAAAGAAAAGUAAAAACUUUUCAACUAUUUUCGAAAAAUGAAAAAUAUCAAACAGUUUUUACAUCAUUAACAGAUGCUGCUGAUAUUUUCAUUGGUGAAAAAAUGAAGACCGUUCAAGAAUUUACGGCUAGUAUGUAUUGUAAAAUAUGGUAUCAAGAACUGCACCAACGUGAAUGAUGCGAGAUAUCGAAUUUUCAUGAAAAGUUACUCUGCUAAAGAAGGCAGCGAGCAGUUUUAAAAAAAAAUAAAAGGCUUUGACUCCAACUCCAUACCACCAUGCUGGAUAUCAUUAACUCAGAAAAUUUUACGAACUAUUUUCGUAAAUUCCACGUGGGUUAAUGCAACGGAUCCAUUAUGCGUGAAACUUCAGCCUGAGAACUGCGGUUGGUUCUUAGAUGAAUAUUUAAAACCAGUAGGAUUCAUCGGAGAUCAUACACCGUUGAAAAUAGAAGACAUUGUCGAAAGAACUGAAACGGAGAGUGAUGACGAAGAAGGUUCAGAAGUUGGAGAUCAUAGUUAUAUGUCCGAUGACUCGGAACCUGAAUAAUUUUUAAAAAUUGAAAAAUUUUUAUAUUUAUAAUUUUUUACAAUGAACAGAAAAUUUUUUUAAUUGUUGUUUUUAUUUUGUCUUCUAACAAUAAAGAUAAAAUUUGCAAGAUUAGUAUUAUACAUACAUGUAUAUGUUUUACUAUAACCUUUUUUACUAAAAAUGUAUAUAUACUUUAGUGUCACAUAAAACAUAUACACACAAAUAAUUAAUUGAUUAAAAAAAAAACUUGAAUAAAUAUUCCUCUAUUUUAAUAAUAAAUUACUCCAAAAUGAUACACAGUACGUACGAGUCUAUCGCUAUCCUCCUCAUUUUCAACAACAAAUAGCAUGCGCACUCUCUUUCUUUAAAUGGGCGGGCUUUAAACAGCUGCUAUGCUGUGUCCUCUUCUAUCGCAUGGGACGGUUGGUUGGGACCUCUCAGUCGCACAUAUUUACUCGCAGCAAUAUUUCACUUUUCAAAAUUCGACAACCGGAAUUCGGGACUAAUUUUUCGCAGGCAACCGUAUACCAUCGUGUUCAUAAUGAAAUAAUCUUCAUUUUCAUUCAAUUUUAAUGCAAUAAUCAGACCGGUGAAAAAUGCUAGUAUCGAUUUACCU